rnacentral:tRNA from 1 species
GGUGGUCUAGCGGUUAGAACGCUGGCCUUGUAAUCCUGGGGUCUCGGGUUCGAUUCCCGGUGGUGCCA